rnacentral:rRNA from 1 species
AGUCGAGCGGACAGAAGGGAGCUUGCUCCCGGAUGUUAGCGGCGGACGGGUGAGUAACACGUGGGUAACCUGCCUGUAAGACUGGGAUAACUCCGGGAAACCGGAGCUAAUACCGGAUAGUUCCUUGAACCGCAUGGUUCAAGGAUGAAAGACGGUUUCGGCUGUCACUUACAGAUGGACCCGCGGCGCAUUAGCUAGUUGGUGAGGUAACGGCUCACCAAGGCGACGAUGCGUAGCCGACCUGAGAGGGUGAUCGGCCACACUGGGACUGAGACACGGCCCAGACUCCUACGGGAGGCAGCAGUAGGGAAUCUUCCGCAAUGGACGAAAGUCUGACGGAGCAACGCCGCGUGAGUGAUGAAGGUUUUCGGAUCGUAAAGCUCUGUUGUUAGGGAAGAACAAGUGCAAGAGUAACUGCUUGCACCUUGACGGUACCUAACCAGAAAGCCACGGCUAACUACGUGCCAGCAGCCGCGGUAAUACGUAGGUGGCAAGCGUUGUCCGGAAUUAUUGGGCGUAAAGGGCUCGCAGGCGGUUUCUUAAGUCUGAUGUGAAAGCCCCCGGCUCAACCGGGGAGGGUCAUUGGAAACUGGGAAACUUGAGUGCAGAAGAGGAGAGUGGAAUUCCACGUGUAGCGGUGAAAUGCGUAGA